AUGGUCUAGAACCGCCACUAGUGGGAUCUUCCACAGCCCAGAGGUGCAGAAAUCGUACUGCCAGAGGAGUUGGGGAGAUCAGAAUGGGCAUUCUGUUUCAUGUUGGUAUUGUCAAGUGCUAGCCCGUCUCAAGAUCCAACCUGACACCAGGGUUGUGUUCAUUAGGCACCAAAUGGAAGAACAUCAACUGAAAUGCGAAGAUUUUUGUUACCCACGGUCUUCACAAAUGGUUGGAUACAGACAUUGAUAAUUUGAGAACGAUUCCUGGCUGGAUUUCCACAGUGUUCCAGUUAUCUCCCAACGGAUCCAGGAACUCCGGCCGCUCUCGCGCUCACUCUCGCUUUCUCUCUCGCUCUGUGGCUGAGAUGAAGCCUUGGAGACACUGGCCAGAUCAGAUAACUUGCGCACACACACACACACACACACACACACACACACACACACACACACACUACGAGAACCUAUUCAAAUCAGUGUGUAGUGGAUGAAUAGUAUCAGAUAGACAUGUUAACACUGAUAACCCUGCAGACAAACAAACACAAAAAGCUGGCCUAGCAGAAUAUCAGGGACUUAUUUUAGCAACAUGCAAAUAAGAUGAACAAAUUAUUUAUUUAGUGAUUAUAUUUUAAAGAUCGAAAAACAGAAGCCUCAGUACUAUUUCUAUUUUUUAAACCAUAUUCGUGAUAUUAAAAAACGAAUUGAAUAAAAAAAUGUUAAAUAUAUAUAUUUGCUGUAAAGUCAUAAGAGGGUAUUUAUAGCACAUUUGUCUGAAAUGAAUUAUUAGUUGUUAACAUUAUUGUUACUAUUAUUGUUAUUAUCUUGAGUAAAAAAACACAUUUUAAUACUGGUAGUAGCAGCAACAUUUCAAAGCUUUACACAUUUGAAAAUCAGACUCGCGUUUGCCUAAUUUCUUUAAUCACAGAUAUUAAAACCUCCGAAGGAAUCACACUCAUAAAUUAUUCCUUGCAAUCGCAUAAACCUACCUCAGCAAGGGCUCGUCCCAGUAUGACAGAAAGCUUUCCCCCCUCUUACUCUCUUUUGCUCCUUCUCUCUCAGAUCAAUGUGGGAUUAAGGGUGAUUACAUGCACACCCUUUGGGACACUUUAUUCCAAUGAAUUAGCCGAGUGAAUGAGCAGCCGCACCGCGACAGAAGAGUAUUUUGUACCAGGCCAUAUAAAUUAUGCAUAUUCCGUAGAUAUUAACCUCGCCUGAUCAUCUUUUUAUCAUUAGAAUAUUGAGAGGGGGGAGAAGGGAUUAUUAAUUGCCCUCAUUGUGUAGUUGUCUUCCCUAAACUGCUCUGGUACAGUAUGUGGCCAAUGAGAGCUAUUAAUUGGUGUUUUCUUUAUUUGAUGGUAGGACGAUAUUUCAUGAAAUACUGUAUAAGCACUCAAAUAAACGACAUACACAUCAUAACAAUUUGUACUAUAUAUAUGAUAACUUUUGAUUACUAUGAUCCGAUGUAUAUAUAUGUCGUAGAAUUGACUUGCAUUUCUUACCCAGUGAAAGAUUAUUUCAUGACGGUUUAUUUUUCGUUCUUUUUUUUUAUUAACGUUUACACAACAAAAGGAAUUGGUGAAAUGGCCUCUAAGGCCGUGUCUACAGACGGAGGACACAUUUCCCCGAUGUUGUUGACCAAAAACACUGGUAGAUGUCAGCCUCUCUUUAUUAUGAUAUUUUGAGAUUUGCCUGUAUUUUUGUCAUUGGAGAGCACAUACAUCGUGUCAACUCAAAUGAAGCAAUGUGGCAAACGGGGAAAUCUUCACUGUUAGGUUGGGGAAGAGGAGGGAGGUAACAUUGGAUGUGAGUGUGGGAAGGUGGGGGACAGUUUUUGCAUCACAGAAUAGAAUCUCCUCAACCCCUAUGAUUGACGUUGUCAUGCAGGAGUGUCACGAUGACUAAAGUGUUGGGCUACAGUUCUAAGUCCUCUUUAUUUAAAUAGAGCAGGAGUGAAAGGUAUUGCGGAGAGAGUGGGGGAAAAAAGUAGUCCCCCUUUAGACUCAGGCAUUGAAGAGAAAAACACACACACACCCACACACGCACACCUUCUUCACACUAUUUUUUGUCUGGACACCCUGGUAAAAUGAUGAUGCUUUGAGGAUGUAAUUAGGCAUUUCGUUCAAAGAAUAUGCCCGCAGAUCCUUGAAUUAUUACCGUCGUUAAAAUCGUGCAAAUAUGGAAAUAUGAUUGCCAGGAGCGCAUAAAUCAAUGAUCAGCAUGCCCUGAAAAUCCAAUAAAUAUGAGAGGUUGGAAUACUUACAAAUGCUAAUUGCAUGCAAGGAUUUGCAUAUGGCAGUAUUUAAAAGCAAUGUCCUUGCCGAAAGAGCCUUUAUGGGUAGACAAAGAAGGGAUUGUGAUUAGAUAGACACCCACUCGUGAUUUUAUCAAACCGACACCGGUCCAGUCACAAUUACUGUAAACAGUAGCCUACUCAAGGGGUUGCUGCACAUGACGUACUUAGUAAGAAAUACAGAAAGUAUCUUAGGGUGUUGCAAACAAGUCUAUGUUUAUUAUCCAGUUUCCUCCGUCUGUCCUGUCUUUUUACAAUGGGAUAAAUUGAAGUGACUUUGAAUAAUGCGCUAUGACCUCAUGGUGAUUACAGCUUAUGAAACAAACCUUAAUUGAGGUUAUUGAUUUAUAUUAAAAGGCAUAUGCUUUUUGCUUUGAACAAAACAGCUUCUCCUUUUGAAAUGUGUUAUUAAUGCAUGCAUAUUACACUGAGUCUACAAAACA